GAGGGUAUAGCUCAGUGGUAGAGUGACUGCUUAGCGUGCAUGAGAUCUUGGGUUCAAUCACCAGUACCUCCA
rnacentral:tRNA from 1 species